GGGUGCAAUCAUACCAGCACAAAUGCACCUGAUCCCAUCAGAACUUCGUAGUUAAGCAUGCUUGGGCGAGAGUAGUACUAGGAUGGGUGACCUCUUAGGAAGUGCUCGUGUUGCACCCU
rnacentral:rRNA from 1 species